UUUUUUUUUUUUUUUUUUUUUUGGGGGUUUUUUUUUUUUUUUUAAUCGGCGUUCAUUAGUAUCAACGGUUU
rnacentral:ribozyme from 15 species